UACAGAGGUCUCAAGCGUUGUUCGGAUUCAUUGGGCGUAAAGGGUGCGUAGGCGGCGGGGUAAGUCUGAUGUGAAAGGCCGGGGCUCAACCUCGGGACUGCAUUGGAUACUGCCUUGCUCGAGAACUGGAGAGGAGACUGGAAUUCCUGGUGUAGCGGUGGAAUGCGCAGAUAUCAGGAGGAACACCGAUGGCGAAGGCAGGUCACUGGGCCGCAACUGACGCUGAGGAGCGAAAGCAUGGGGAGCGAACAGG
rnacentral:rRNA from 1 species